CGACGGGUGAGUAACGCGUGGAAAACCUGCCGUAUACUGGGGGAUAACACUUAGAAAUAGGUGCUAAUACCGCAUAAGCGCACAGCUUCGCAUGAAGCGGUGUGAAAAACUCUGGUGGUAUACGAUGGUUCCGCGUCUGAUUAGCUAGUUGGUGGGGUAAUGGCCUACCAAGGCAACGAUCAGUAGCCGGCCUGAGAGGGUGAACGGCCACAUUGGGACUGAGACACGGCCCAAACUCCUACGGGAGGCAGCAG
rnacentral:rRNA from 1 species